UGCAUCGGCCAGGAUUCGAACCCGCCCGCGUGGCAGGCGAGCAUUCUACCACUGAACCAAAAGC
rnacentral:tRNA from 1 species